rnacentral:misc_RNA from 1 species
UUUUUCGUGUUCUUUGGGCAAGUAAUGCUAAGCUCCUAUUAUGUUACCUACUCAUCCCAUAUUAUGUUGCUUACUCAUCCCACUUCUUGUGUCGUAAAUACCAUUGUUUUAUCAUUACCCAUUUACACUCAAUUCAUCCUGCAUAGGAUUGUGAGGUGGAUAAUUAAGAGAUUUAUACACCAGGCAACUAAGUCUAGUUGGAGAAGACGUUUGAGUGCAUUAAUAGAGUUUAGCUGGGCUGGGAUCUAUACUGGUUAAUGGUUUAGUUUAAAUGCAGCAUGCAAUGCUUAGGAAAGGCAGAGCAGAUUCUUGUGUAACCUAGAUGAUGUGCAAUUCCUGGGUGCCAG